AGUGAACGCUGGCGGUAGGCCUAACACAUGCAAGUCGAACGGCAGCACAGUAAGAGCUUGCUCUUACGGGUGGCGAGUGGCGGACGGGUGAGGAAUACAUCGGAAUCUACUUUUUCGUGGGGGAUAACGUAGGGAAACUUACGCUAAUACCGCAUACGACCUACGGGUGAAAGCAGGGGAUCUUCGGACCUUGCGCGGUUGAAUGAGCCGAUGUCGGAGUAGCUAGUUGGCGGGGUAAAGGCCCACCAAGGCGACGAUCCGUAGCUGGUCUGAGAGGAUGAUCAGCCACACUGGAACUGAGACACGGUCCAGACUCCUACGGGAGGCAGCAGUGGGUAAUAUUGGACGAUGUGCGCAAGCCUGAUCCAGCCAUACCGCGUGGGUGAAGAAGGCCUUCGGGUUGUAAAGCCCUUUUGUUGGGAAAGAAAAGCAGCAGGUUAAUACCCCGCUGUUCUGACGGUACCCAAAGAAUAAGCACCGGCUAACUUCGU
rnacentral:rRNA from 1 species